CCCUGGGAACACAGCGAGGUGUCCGCGCACGUCCCCGGAGCGGGCUGCUGGGGCAGAAACGCGCCCGCUGUGCGAGACCUGCGCUUCUGGAACAUGCCGGCCGAGAGAUGUUCGCUUUGUUUUUUAAUCUCUCUAAAUGGAUUAUAAAUUCUUUGGGCUACAGAUGUGUAGAGACAAGCACAGUGGAAACCGGUUUUGGAGCGGAAUUUCUGGAAGUUGUUAGAGCAGAAAAAAGAAUGGCAGCCUCCUCUAGGGCUGAGCCUAGAAAUGCUUUUAAAAGAUACAAUGACUUUUAAACAUACUUGCCUCCUCCUCUCACGUUCGUUACAACCUUCGUGAUGAUACCUAUGUAACCUCAGAGCUCCCUGCUUUCCUACUGCCUGAAUAACUAUCAUCAGCCUUCCUGAGCCUUGCUCCAGUGACAUAGUUCCCUGUGCCAAUGGAUCAUAGCUGUGACUGUCACAGUUACAACAGGUAUCUCCUCAGGCAUGGGGAAAGGCAGACAGCUUUCCAGGGAAAAAAAAAAAAAAAAAAAAAAAGAAAAAAGAAAAAAAGAAAACCAUUAUCGUUCACUGGCACCCAUGAAGACAUAGGGUACACCUCAUGCAUGACCCCUGAAUGCUGAUGCGUUAUGUAUCCAUAAAAGCCAAGAGAUAUUUGCUGUGGAGCAUGGCAAAUCUUUUUGUCAAUUAAUUUGGUUACUGAAAAUUGUCACUCAAAAGUAUUAGUCAAAUAAUGACAAAUGUUAUGUACAGAUUGA